rnacentral:rRNA from 1 species
CCUACGGGUGGCAGCAGUGAGGAAUAUUGGUCAAUGGGCGGGAGCCUGAACCAGCCAAGUCGCGUGAGGGAAGACGGUCCUAUGGAUUGUAAACCUCUUUAGGCGGGGAGCAAUGCCGGGCACGCGUGCCCGGAGGGAGAGUACCCGCAGAAUAAGCAUCGGCUAACUCCGUGCCAGCAGCCGCGGUAAUACGGAGGAUGCGAGCGUUAUCCGGAUUUAUUGGGUUUAAAGGGUGCGUAGGCGGGUUUUUAAGUCAGCGGUAAAAUGUCGGGGCUCAACCCGGGCCGGCCGUUGAAACUGGCGAUGUGGAGUGGGCGAGAAGUAUGCGGAAUGCGUGGUGUAGCGGGGAAAUGCAUAGAUAGCACGCAGAAUGACGAGUGCGAAGGCAGCAUACCGGCGCCCUACUGACGCUGAGGAACGAAAGCGUGGGUAUCGAACAGGAUUAGAUACCCGGGUAGUC